CUCUGUGACCUUUCCCAGCCUUGGUGGCCGC
rnacentral:piRNA from 1 species